rnacentral:tRNA from 1 species
GUGGGUAUAGCUCAGUGGUAGAGUGCAUGCUUAGCAUGCAAGAGGUCAUGGGUUCAACCCCCAGUACCUCCA